UGGCGGCGUGCCUAACACAUGCAAGUCGAACGGAGAUUACGCGCUGAUGAAGCUUCGGCAGAAUCUUGUGUAAUCUUAGUGGCGGACGGGUGAGUAACGCGUGGGCAACCUGCCUCAUACUGGGGGAUAGCAGUUGGAAACGACUGAUAAUACCGCAUAAGCGCACAGCAUCGCAUGAUGCAGUGUGAAAAACUCCGGUGGUAUGAGAUGGGCCCGCGUCAGAUUAGCUAGUUGGUAAGGUAACGGCUUACCAAGGCGACGAUCUGUAGCCGGACUGAGAGGUCGGACGGCCACAUUGGGACUGAGACACGGCCCAAACUCCUACGGGAGGCAGCAGUGGGGGAUAUUGCACAAUGGAGGAAACUCUGAUGCAGCGACGCCGCGUGAGUGAAGAAGUAUUUCGGUAUGUAAAGCUCUAUCAGCAGGGAAGAAAGACUCGCAAGAGAGAUGACGGUACCUGACUAAGAAGCCCCGGCUAACUACGUGCCAGCCGCCGC
rnacentral:rRNA from 1 species